AGAGUUUGAUCAUGGCUCAGAUUGAACGCUGGCGGCAGGCUUAACACAUGCAAGUCGAGCGGAAACGAGAAAUAGCUUGCUAUUUCGGCGUCGAGCGGCGGACGGGUGAGUAAUGCUUGGGAAUAUGCCUUUGAGUGGGGGACAACAGUUGGAAACGACUGCUAAUACCGCAUAACGUCUACGGACCAAAGGGGGGGAUGCUUCGGCACCUCUCGCUCAUAGAUUAGCCCAAGUGAGAUUAGCUAGUUGGUAAGGUAAGAGCUUACCAAGGCGACGAUCUCUAGCUGGUUUGAGAGGAUGAUCAGCCACACUGGGACUGAGACACGGCCCAGACUCCUACGGGAGGCAGCAGUGGGGAAUAUUGCACAAUGGGGGAAACCCUGAUGCAGCCAUGCCGCGUGUGUGAAGAAGGCCUUCGGGUUGUAAAGCACUUUCAGUUGUGAGGAAAGGGAUGUAGUUAAUACUGCAUUCUGUGACGUUAACAACAGAAGAAGCACCGGCUAACUUCGUGCCAGCAGCCGCGGUAAUACGAGGGGUGCAAGCGUUAAUCGGAAUUACUGGGCGUAAAGCGUUCGUAGGCGGUUUGUUAAGCAAGAUGUGAAAGCCCCGGGCUCAACCUGGGAACUGCAUUUUGAACUGGCAAACUAGAAUACUGUAGAGGGGGGUAGAAUUUCA
rnacentral:rRNA from 1 species